GAUGACAAGUGCACAUUCAAAGUGGAAAUCACAUCAGCACAACACUUCAAAAAAUAAUUCCAUAAAAAAACAUCCCAAGAUGCAUUAGCACUAUUUGACUAUUGUAGCACAAAUGAAUCACAUUUCAUUGAGAGAGUUAAAAAAAACAAACAAACAAAAAACGCCUGCUUCCUCUCGUGUAGCCAAAAAGAGGAUUUAGAGAUUUAGUUACAAAAAAGUGACCUCAUCUCAUUCGCCACGCGCACACGCAGACGCACACGCACGUGUGCACGAGGAGGGUGAAGACGUUCACGAGUCAGGAGAACGAGCUGCAAGAUUCCAACGCAGAGGAAAAGGUUUUGUUUUGGAUCUUCACAAGUCGGAUUUCUUUCAACACACCAGCUUUCCCCUGAGCAGAGGGUUCUUCAUCUUCUUCUUCUUCUUCUUCUUGGAACGAACUGCAGCACACACUCAGGAGGCUGCCGAAAAACAAAGGGAUGCAAUUAAACACAGCUGAUCAACAAGGAGGCAAAGUGGGGACGCAGGACGACAAAGUGGAGGUCAAAUAAAAGGGAGGUCGCCACACACACAAACGUGGCCUCUGUUAUGAACUGAGGUAUAUAAGGGAGCGGGUAAAAAUAAAUGUUUACCAAUGAAGACGUCUGUGUGCCUCCUGCGUGCACAUGGAGGUGCGUACACGGCGUGCUAAAAGCUGCCCUGCAGACCAGACCUGUGGAAUCUUCAAAGUGGAGGAUUUGUUCAGGCUUAUUUGGCAACCUGGGAUUUGAAUUAGAUUUUGUGAGGCAUUCAUAACACAUUAGAAAACCUUACAAUGUGUGAUUUCAUGUCUAAUCCCCUUAUAGUCAUUUUUUUUAUAAGGGGGAGUAUGGUCACAACAUAGCGCGGCUAUUCAUGAUUCAUCAAAUGUUUUUCUUUUUUUUGCCUGUGAGGUGAGUGUCUUCUCCUGAAGAGGUGACUCUUCUCUUGAACCUUCCUCUCCUCACCAUUUUGUUGGUUUGACCUGAAUAUGUGAUAGGGUCAGCUCCACCGUGACACCCCCUGCUUACAACCCUCAGUGGAUUAGACCUUUCUACAUGUGCGGACGCCCACUUUGCUUUGAAUGACACUUUGGCGAUGCCCCCAACAUCCCACUUGGACUUCUCAAGUGUAGCAACACUGCCAAAUCCUCUCAACUCUUUAAUAUCUCUCUUUGGCUGCAUUGCCAGGCAAGGCCCCUCCGUGACAGUUGGACAUCGUCGUCGCUUUCGGGAGGAGACAGCGGCGGCCGUUUGUAGCGUUUCCCAGCCUCGGGCCUGUGGGGACUCUGUGAUGGCUCGCCUGUCAGCCGGCCCCUCCCCUGCAAUUAGGAGAGUAAACACAGCGCCCGGCUUGACAUGGGAGGGGGGGACAGAGAAGGAGGGGUGGGGACACCAUCCUGCUCCUGUCCUACUGCUGUCCCCAGACAAAGAUGACUGAACAAACUCAGACACUGCAAAUCUCUCAAAAAGUGUCUGUGAAUACAUCACAGCAUAUCAUAGCAGGCUGCACGGUGGUUUGCAUGUCGGCCUCACAGUCAGGACCAUUGAGGCUUAGAACAUCUCUGUGUAGACUUUGCUUGUCCUCGCACAUCUAAAAACAAGGCAUUAAUUACAGGCAUUCAGAAAGUAUUCACAGUGCUUCAAUUUUUCCACAUUUUGUUAUUUUGUAGCCUUAAUCCAAAAUGCAAUACAUUCAUUGUUGUCCUCAAAAUUCUACACACAAUACCCCAAAAUGACAAUGUGAAAAGUUUUUUUUACAACAUUUAUACAAAUGUCUUAAAAGAUAAAAACAUAAAACAAAUGUACAUAAGUAUUCACAGCCUUUGCUCAAUACUUUGUUGAUACACAUUGGCCAGACGGAAUCCAUUUCUUGGUAAAAAGUUUGCCAAAAUGCACCUGGAAAACAAACUUCUCUGGUCUGACGAAACAAAGGUUGAACUCUUUGGCGUGAAUGCAAGGUGUCAUGUUUGGAGGAAAACCAAUUCCUACAGUGAAGCAUGGUGGUGGCAGCAUCAUGCAGUGGGGAUGUUUUUUUUAGCACAGGAACUGGGAGACUAGUCAGGAUAGAGGGAAAGAUGAAUGUAGCAGUGUACAAAGACAUCCUAGAUGAAAACCAACGUUUCCCAUCCAUCCUGUUGGAGCUUGAGAGGUGCUGCAAAGAGGAUUAUGUGUUACUGCCCAAAGAUAGGUGGGCCAAACUUGUGGCAUCGUAUUCAAAUAGACUUGAGGCUGUAAUUGCUGCCAAAGGUGCAUCAACUAAGUGUUGAGCAAAGACAGUGAAUACUUACAGUAUGUACAUGUGAUUUUUUAUUUUCAAUACAUUUGCAAACAUUUUUAAAUACAUAUUUUCACAUUAUCAAUAUGGGUUAUUGUAUGUAGAUUUUUUAUGACAAAAAUGCAUCUAUUCCAUUUUAGAAUAAGGCUUUAAAAUAACAAAAUGUGGAAAAUUUGAAGCACUGUGACUCAUUUCCGGAUGCACUGUACGUUCCUAAUGAUUUUCUGUUAUUGUUCUGUUAUCUGUUAUUUUACGCACACCUUGUUAUGAGUUGAAAUAUUGGGAACCUGAUAAUAUCUAGUUUAUUUCUGAAUAAAGACACUGAUACUGAUUAAAGUACAUUGUGUGAGAGACAGCGUUGGGAUAAAACAGGUGUGUUUUUGACGUCGCACAGCGGCAUUUUUGUGGUUGUUUGAUUCCGUGUUUUAGUUCUGCGUUUGAGCUUCCUUUAAGUGCAAUAAAAAGGAGAAAUGGAAGUAAAUCAUUAUUGAAAAUACUUAAGGAAAUGUAUAUGUUAUUAACAGUGACACAAUGAAUAAAAGUAAUUCUAGAUGUUUAGCAUUUGCACAAAAAAACCCCAAAUAAUAUAUUUGUGACCCACUGUAGUGUAUGAAAGCUUGAUUCUCAGCAUUCAGUUGUGUAAUUACAAUUCUAUAAAAAGCAAAGAAAUAUGAAUAAAAGAAGGAGCAUAUCCGCCCUCACAUAUUUUGGAGCGCUUCAGAUUCUGCACCUUUGUAUUCAAUUCAAACCAUAAGAAUAUAACUUUGAUUUCUGUGUAGUUUUUGACAUGAUAAUAAGUGGACCUCUCAUGUAAUGGCAUAUGUUUUUGUUGAAGUCACGCAGCGGGAUCCAAAAUGCCGCCCGGGGGUGAUCAGCGGCCCACAGCUCCUUUUUUAUUCUACAGCAGGUGUCUUCAAAGUUCAUCACAAUUUGAGCUGCUAUAAAGUGAGGUGACAGAUUUGUAUUUUAUUGAUAUGACAACAUUUCAAUUGUACUUUAUUGACAAAGCAGAUCUCCACUCCAACAGUGCAGCUAUUAUCUUCAUGCUAGUUUGUGAUCCUUUGCCAUCAAAAAGAGGCACAAGGUCUGAAUUUAAGUUGUAUUGAUAUUAAAUAAUAUUCUUUGACCUUUUAGUGAGCUACUCACAAUCAAGUAGUGAGCUGUUGGAGACCUCUGUGCUUGCAGAAUGGCCCACAUCGGAACAUAACACAAAAACAAAGAAUGACUACAAUAAACAUUUACCAAAUGCACCAAAAAAAUGGGACCAGCAAACAAAAAUGGUCGACUACCAGCGUUUACGUCUUACCCAUAGGUGGGGAGAGUAGCCAAUAAAGCCAAAAAUUAUGACUCAAGUACAAGUUAAAAAAUAGUCAUCAAAAUGAUUACUUGACUAAAAGUAAGUAUUCAGUGAAACAAUUAUGCAAGUACUGACUAACUAGUGAGUAACUUCAUAUUUAUUUCAUAACUAUAUUACAGUGGUACUUGCACUACAACCAUAGUUGGUUUGUGUGUGUGUGUGUGUGUGUGUGUGUGUGUGUGUGUGUGUGUGUGUGUGUGUGUGUGUGUGUGUGUGUGUGUGUGUGUGAGACAGAGA